GCCCGGUUAGCUCAGUCGGUAGAGCAUCAGACUUGUAAUCUGAGGGUCGCGGGUUCGAGUCCCUCAUCGGGCG
rnacentral:tRNA from 1 species